UACGUAGGGGGCAAGCGUUGUCCGGAUUUAUUGGGCGUAAAGCGCGUGUAGGCGGCCAGGUAGGUCCGUUGUGAAAACUCGAGGCUCAACCUCGAGACGCCGAUGGAAACCCCCCAGCUAGAGUCCGGAAGAGGAGAGUGGAAUUCCUGGUGUAGCGGUGAAAUGCGCAGAUAUCAGGAAGAACACCCGUGGCGAAGGCGGCUCUCUGGUACGUGACUGACGCUGAGACGCGAAAGCGUGGGGAGCGAACAGG
rnacentral:rRNA from 1 species